UACGGGGGGGGUAAGCGUUGUUCGGAAUUACUGGGCGUAAAGGGCUCGUAGGCGGCCAACUAAGUCAUACGUGAAAUCCCUCAGCUUAACUGGGGAACUGCGUGUGAUACUGGAUGGCUUGGAUUUGGGAGAGGGAUGCGGAAUUCCAGGUGUAGCGGUGAAAUGCGUAGAUAUCAAGUGGAACACCAGUGGCGAAGGCGAGUCCCUGGACAACUCCUGACACUGAGGCACGAAAGCUAGGGGAGCAAACAGG
rnacentral:rRNA from 1 species